AAUGAACGUUGGCGGCGUGGAUUAGGCAUGCGAGUCGUACGAGAACCCGCAAGGGGGAAAGUGGCGAACGGGGUAGUAAUGCGUAGGUGACGUGCCCUGCGGUCGGGGAUAGCUUAGGGAAACUUAAGGUAAUACCCGAUGACACCAUUAGGUUUGAAUACUAUAUGGUCAAAGGUGUGAUUCCACCACAGGAGCGGCUUGCGUGGUAUUAGCUAGUUGGUGAGGUAACGGCUCACCAAGGCAACGAUGCCUAGGGGAUGUUAGCGCAUGAUCCCCACCACUGGGACUGAGAUACUGCCCAGACACCUACGGGUGGCUGCAGUCGAGAAUCUUCUGACAAGGUACGGGGGAACCCUCGACCGAGCGACGCCGCGUGGUGGG
rnacentral:rRNA from 1 species